rnacentral:rRNA from 1 species
ACCUACGGGAGGCAGCAGUGAGGGAUAUUGGUCAAUGGGGGAAACCCUGAACCAGCAACGCCGCGUGAGGGAAGACGGUUUUCGGAUUGUAAACCUCUGUCCUCUGUGAAGAUGAUGACGGUAGCAGAGGAGGAAGCUCCGGCUAACUACGUGCCAGCAGCCGCGGUAAUACGUAGGGAGCAAGCGUUAUCCGGAUUUACUGGGUGUAAAGGGAGCGCAGACGGCAGUGCAAGUCUGGAGUGAAAGCCCGGGGCCCAACCCCGGAACUGCUCUGGAAACUGUGCGGCUAGAGUACUGGCGGGGCG